rnacentral:rRNA from 1 species
UACGAACUGUGCAAACGUUAUUCGGAAUCACUGGGCUUAAAGGGUGCGUAGGCGGCUUGUUAAGUAGGGUGUGAAAUCCCCCGGCUACAACCGGGGAAUUGCGCCCUAAACUGGCGAGCUGGAGUGAGAUAGGGGUGUGUGGAACUUCCAGUGGAGCGGUGAAAUGUGUUGAUAUUGGAAGGAACGCCAGUGGCGAAAGCGACACACUGGGUCUCAACUGACGCUGGAGGCACGAAAGCCAGGGGAGCAAACGGG